CCCUUAGAUGUUCUGGGCUGCACGCGCGCUACACUGAAGCUAUCAACACGUUUUCCCUCCCUGAGAAGGGCGGGUAACCUUUUGAAUCAGCUUCGUGGUAGGGAUCGGGGCUUGCAAUUGUUCCCCGUGAACCAGGAAUUCCUAGUAGACGCGAGUCAUAAGCUCGCAUCGAUUAAGUCCCUGCCCUUUGUACACACCGCCCGUCGCUCCUACUGAUUGAGUGUCUCGGUGAAUUCUUUGAUCUUCUGUCGAUUCAGUUCACUGAUCCGACGGUGGAAAGUUGAAUGAACUUCGUCACUUAGAGGAAGGAGAAGUCGUAACA
rnacentral:rRNA from 1 species